rnacentral:rRNA from 1 species
AGUGAACGCUGGCGGUAGGCCUAACACAUGCAAGUCGAACGGCAGCACAGUAAGAGCUUGCUCUUACGGGUGGCGAGUGGCGGACGGGUGAGGAGUACAUCGGAAUCUACUUUUUCGUGGGGGAUAACGUAGGGAAACUUACGCUAAUACCGCAUACGACCUACGGGUGAAAGCAGGGGAUCUUCGGACCUUGCACGAUUGAAUGAGCCGAUGUCGGAUUAGCUAGUUGGCGGGGUAAAGGCCCACCAAGGCGACGAUCCGUAGCUGGUCUGAGAGGAUGAUCAGCCACACUGGAACUGAGACACGGUCCAGACUCCUACGGGAGGCAGCAGUGGGGAAUAUUGGACAAUGGGCGCAAGCCUGAUCCAGCCAUACCGCGUGGGUGAAGAAGGCCUUCGGGUGGUAAAGCCCUUUUGUUGGGAAAGAAAAGCAGCAGGUUAAUACCCCGCUGUUCUGACGGUACCCAAAGAAUAAGCACCGGCUAACUUCGUG